AUACGAAGGUCCCAAGCGUUAUUCGGAAUCACUGGGCGUAAAGGGAGCGUAGGCGGUUUGGUAAGUCAGAUGUGAAAUCUCGGGGCUCAACCCCGAAACUGCAUUUGAUACUGCCAGACUUGAGUAAUGGAGGGGUAGCUGGAAUUCUCGGUGUAGCAGUGAAAUGCGUAGAUAUCGAGAGGAACACUCGUGGCGAAGGCGAGCUACUGGACAUUUACUGACGCUGAGGCUCGAAGGCUAGGGUAGCGAAAGGGAUUAGAAACCCCAGUAGUCC
rnacentral:rRNA from 1 species